rnacentral:lncRNA from 1 species
CUACCUUCACCAAGAAAAAAAUAUGGUUUUCCUAUAAUUUCAUUAUAGUUGAUCGUUAAAAACGUUAUUACUUUAUCUUGUAUGAAAACCCAAAAUAGUGUUACAUACAUUAGGCUACAUAUUACACACAUAAUCUUUUGAAGAUAUAAAAAAAUUUCACCUUUUAACAAAUUCUAAAGAUUAGUUUGGACUUGGCUCUGAAAUUUUACUUUUUAUU